rnacentral:lncRNA from 1 species
UGAUUAAGAACCUUUAUAAAUCUUACAAUAAAACACUAAAAGCUAACAUUUUGUUCAAAAAAAUUUCGAUUUAAAGUUGUUCAUUAGAUCCUGUUGCAACAAAAAUAGCAAAUUCCAAUGUCAAAAACAACAAUUACAAAUUACAAUCUCAAACUAAACUAAAGAGGAAUACUCAAUAACACAUCGGUGGUAUGUAAUUUGUAAAUAAAAA